AGAGAAGUGCUUCACCGCAAGGUGGUCCUCCCAGUCGUUAGUAAGGCUCUUAUAGAAUGAAGCAUACUCCUCCUUUGAAAUCUCCUCAGGCUUCCUCAGCCAAAUGGGUUUCUGUUUGUUAACGAGUUCCCACUCAUGGGUAACUUCUUUCACCUUUUUCUUCUUGCCUUUGUUGUCUUUGUCCUCAUCAAUUUCCUCCACUUCACCUUCCUUUUCCUUCUUUGCUUCUUCAUCUUCAUCAUCGCUAAUCUCCUUCUCCGUGGUCUUCUCUGUCAACAGGUAAAUGGGAUAGCUAAUGAACUCAGAAUGCUUCUUCACCAGGUCCUUCAACCUCCUAUCCUCCAAGUAUUCCAACUGCAAUCAGGACAGAAAACAGAAACAACUAAUCA
rnacentral:lncRNA from 1 species